CAAACUCAUGCCCGUUGCUGCCUGUGGGGAGUGAAGUGGGGAGCAGUCAGCGAGGAUCAGACGGUUUCCAUCCUGUCGGCUGGGGGACCACUGCUGCAUUUGCAGUGCUAACAUAAACCAGGUAACUGGCAUACUGAGGAUGAAUGGACCUGGCUUCCCCAAAUUCAUUUCGAUAAUGAGGAAACUGAGGCACAGAGAGAUUAUCUAAAGUCACACAUCAAACCAGCAGCAUUUGAAAGCGAGGAGUCUUAACUCUGACGCUGGACACCAGGAGAACAGCACACGGGUGCUCUUGGGCUAUUGGGUCCUGGGGAAAUAAGUGGCAGAGACUGUGGAGC